rnacentral:tRNA from 1 species
GUCGUCUCCGGUGAGGCGGCUGGACUUCAAAUCCAGUUGGGGCCCAAAGAAGGGAUAAAAGUACGCCA